UCCCAGAGUGGGUGUGACAGCAGGAAGACAACUGGGAGGGGAGCAGACAGCUUGUAUUUUGUUCUUCACCAACUGGCUGCUAAUGUCAAGCUCUGGGGGAAAUGGACUCUCAAUGCUAUCUUGGGGCAGACGUUUGUUGAAAUGGCUGUGGUCCUCCCACUAGCUCCUGGGCUCCAGGAAUCCACUGAAGGUGGUUGUUUGUUGAUCUUUUUCCACUGGACCUGGCCUAAUUUAAUGACAGGCCACCGAGUCCACUCUUGAAGAUCACCUCCUAGCUUCUCUUGGGAAAAAGAGAAAGCCAAAGCCUUCUUCCCUCUGCCCAGCCCUGCCCUGCUGUCUACAAAAAGAAGACAAAGAAAGAGAGACUCCUCCUUACUCCUGGAUAAUGUCAUAUUUGUCAUGAUGAACCCCGUCUAAGGGAAAAAUCAUCAAGCAGGAUUGGGCAGAGCCAAUGGGAUAAAAGAGAGGUGGAGCCAAGAGUCAUCUUACUUGGAAGCGUAGCUAUUUCUACAUUUCUUGACUGAGAUGACGAAAUGUCCUUUUAGCUUAAAUUAGUUGCAAUUGACGUUUUCUGUUACUUAGAGCAAAUACAUCCUAAGUUGAUAAAUCAGAAACCUGAGAUUUGUUCUGGAGGCCAUGGAGAAUAGGUCAUGAAUCUUGGUGGGUGGAUGGACAGAUGGAUGGAUGGAUGGAUGGAUGGAUGGAUGGAUACUGCCUGGUCAAAAGUACAAAGCUUCUAUAAAGAUGGUGAGCUCAUCAGAAGGGAGUUUUGUGAGCCAAGAGCAGGAAGGAUUGGAAGCAAGUAAAAGCUGAGGGCCCCCCAGUCUGUGCUACCUCACCCUUGCAAAGAGACUUCACCAGGGGCAGGAAGCCUUGGAGCAUCCCACCCAGAACUUGAGACUGCACCACAAACUUAGGAAAGCACCAGACACCCAGUGCAAUGGGCUCCUCUCCAUGCGGCCAGGCUGAUGUCAGUAAGAACUCCCCAGAGACAAAGCCAUCCCACCUGUGAAGACCAGCCUUGUCUCCUUGCAUCAAUACCAAAUCCCUAGAAAACAUGGCUAAUUGAAAACACAGCCACAUAAGUGCAGGCAUCACCUCCUUGCUCUAUCCACCAAUAAACAACUCAGGAAGUCUCAGUCCCUAAGCUCAGGAAAUGGUAGUGUAGGGACUUGGGAAAAACAGAUCACAGAAGUGAGGGCGUGCGGUCCCUUCUGAGCUGCUCGGAUAAGCCACACUGCCUGAGGCAGCCGCCUAAUGCAUCCUAAACACCCAUUAGAUGUUUGGUAAAUGGACAACCGGAUGCUCGGAGUACUUAAGGGACAUUUGUGUGAAGUUAAUCCAGAAUCUCUCGGGAGCCCCAUUGUGGAUGGCAUGUAGAAUCACAGACUUGGGAUCCAGCAAAACAGAAGCAAGAAGGGAUUUCUGCUGGAGAGAGCCAUUGGAGGAUGGAUGAAGCACAGAGCAGAGGCGGAGGCAGGACUUCAGAACCCAGACCCAGUACCUACCAUCAUGGCCCAGAGACAUCAAGCAGCAUCCAGUGCCUUAUGUCCUAUGCUAACAUAUGCAAAACAGUCCGUCCUGGUUUUGCAUAACUCAUUCAUGCAUGUGAAGGUACAAUGAAUAGUCAGCAAUUAUGUGCUGAAGCUGUGGCAGAGGGCCUGGAAGAGAGGCAUAGGCUUGCUCCCUCCUGGAACCACCACAGAAUCUGCACAGAAAGCUGCCCUCCCGUCCUUGAUGAACACUGGCCAUCCUGUGGCCAUUUCCUCCCCACAAACACCCAGCUUCAAACACAUUUCCCUGGAACAAUAAGAGGAAAUGAGAGGGAACUGGGAACUCAGCCUGAAUCCUGCUGAAUGGCUCAGAAGCCUGUGUUUAGGAUGCUGGUGGUGUGAAGCAGAAAGAAGAGAGAGGGUCAGAUUGACAAUGAAGGACAGCGGGAAAUGGUUCUCUCUGUAUCUCUCGCUC